AGAGUUUGAUCCUGGCUCAGGAUGAACGCUAGCGGCAGGCCUAACACAUGCAAGUCGAGGGAGAAGCCCUUUCGGGGCAGAAACCGGCGCACGGGUGCGUAACGCGUAUGCAACCUACCUUUCACAGGGGGAUAGCCCGAAGAAAUUUGGAUUAAUACCCCAUAAUAUUGUUGGAUGGCAUCAUCUAGCAAUUAAAGCUACGACGGUGGAAGAUGGGCAUGCGUCCUAUUAGCUAGUUGGAGUGGUAACGGCACCCCAAGGCUACGAUAGGUAGGGGUCCUGAGAGGGAGAUCCCCCACACUGGUACUGAGACAGGGACCAGACUCCUACGGGAGGCAGCAGUGAGGAAUAUUGGUCAAUGGUCGGAAGACUGAACCAGCCAUGCCGCGUGCAGGAAGAAUGCCUUAUGGGUUGUAAACUGCUUUUAUAUGGGAAGAAUAAGGUGUACGUGUACAUUGAUGACGGUACCAUAUGAAUAAGCAUCGGCUAACUCCGUG
rnacentral:rRNA from 1 species